UACGAAGGGGGCUAGCGUUGUUCGGAUUUACUGGGCGUAAAGCGCACGUAGGCGGAUUGUUAAGUCAGGGGUGAAAUCCCGGAGCUCAACUCCGGAACUGCCUUUGAUACUGGCAAUCUAGAGUCCGGAAGAGGUGAGUGGAACUCCUAGUGUAGAGGUGGAAUUCGUAGAUAUUAGGAAGAACACCAGUGGCGAAGGCGGCUCACUGGUCCGGUACUGACGCUGAGGUGCGAAAAGCGUGGGGGAGCAACGGG
rnacentral:rRNA from 1 species